rnacentral:rRNA from 1 species
UACGAAGGGGGCUAGCGUUGUUCGGAAUUACUGGGCGUAAAGCGCACGUAGGCGGAUACUUAAGUCAGGGGUGAAAUCCCGGGGCUCAACCCCGGAACUGCCUUUGAUACUGGGUAUCUCGAGUCCGGAAGAGGUGAGUGGAAUUCCGAGUGUAGAGGUGAAAUUCGUAGAUAUUCGGAGGAACACCAGUGGCGAAGGCGGCUCACUGGUCCGGUACUGACGCUGAGGCGCGAAAGCUAGGGGAGCAAACAGG